rnacentral:ncRNA from 1 species
UUUUUGGAGAGUUUGAUCCUGGCUCAGGAUGAACGCUGGCGGCGUGCCUAAUACAUGCAAGUCGAGCGGGAGAAUCAUCCUUCGGGAUGAGGAUCCAGCGGCGAACGGGUGAGUAACACGUGGGCAACCUGCCCGCAGGACCGGGAUAACUCCGGGAAACCGGGGCUAAUACCGGAUAGGCCAUUUCCCCGCAUGGGGAAAUGGGGAAAGGCGGCUUCGGCUGUCACUUGCGGAUGGGCCCGCGGCGCAUUAGCUGGUUGGUGAGGUAACGGCUCACCAAGGCGACGAUGCGUAGCCGACCUGAGAGGGUGAUCGGCCACACUGGGACUGAGACACGGCCCAGACUCCUACGGGAGGCAGCAGUAGGGAAUUUUCCGCAAUGGGCGAAAGCCUGACGGAGCAACGCCGCGUGAGUGAGGACGGCCUUCGGGUUGUAAAACUCUGUUCUUGAGGAAGAAUUCCUUCCAGGCGAACAGCGUUUUACAAC